GGGGGCGUAGCUCAGUUGGGAGAGCGCUUGAAUGGCAUUCAAGAGGUCAUGGGUUCAAGUCCCACCGUCUCCACUA
rnacentral:tRNA from 2 species